rnacentral:lncRNA from 1 species
GGAAAAGAGGCAGAAUAGGAGGAGGAAAGCUUUCCCCUGGGUGGUCUCUAGAAAAAGCAUCAAAAGAGAGAAGCUCCUGGAUGUAAGGACAGCAGCCACGGGGAAAGCCAGAGAAUGGCCAGUGGGAGCAGAGCAUUUCCAAGACCGGGGAUGAACAGUGGACACCUCCAGGAAGACAGUUUAGAGCACUGGAAAUGGUGCAGAAGGCCAGCAGAAAAGCGAGUCAUUGUUCCUCCAUGGCUGGAGUGGGAGAACCAACUUCCUGGUAAUGAGACGACAUAAAUCUUCACCCUCCUUUUCACGGAAGCCAGCCAACGAGAUACUGACUGAACAACAGAAGAUACUAUCUUAACUGCACCAUAGCUAGCAGUGCAUGAAGUCUUCAUUCCAGGCUUGACAGGAGAGGGUGUGCAGUCAUCCUGACUCCAGUAUUUUCUGAAGCAGUUGGAAAGAGAUGAGAGGACAGGCGUUGGGAAAAAGUUUUAAAGUGGCUAAAAGCGAAGACAGUGCCAGACUCAUACCUACACCAGUGCACUGUGAUGCUUGGACCCUGACUGUCUUAGAUGCAGAAUUUGAAAAGGAA